ACCCGGAAACUCAUGUAACAUUUCCGCCCUGAACUUUACCCGAUGCAUUAGUAAGCAUGUUUUAGUCUGAAUGGUUUCCAUUAAACUCUCUUGAUAGCUGUAUGAUUUGCUUAUUCCUUACGGUCAAUCACUGGGAGUGAAAUAGUGUACUAAACGAGUGAUUCAACCCAAAAGGAUUUGUCUUUAAGUUUUUUUAAGUAUACAACCUGUCAACGUGUUAGCGGGAUAGCUAGCACUCGUAGCUUCCUGCAGGUGGAAACAAGAGGACGUGAUUGUGUGCCAUGUUGUUUUUAUACAUGUCAUUCUAAGUCAUUAAAAGUGCAUUUAGGAUCUUUCAUGGCAGCUCGGCACCCCUUCACAGACACUGAUACUUCUGAUGAAGCAGUUCGAGCGACGUGUGACGAUGCCACGACUUGCAAAAGGUUUGCUAUCAGUAAAGGAUACUGGACAGACCCUUAUAUCCAGUAUUUUGUCAGAUCUGUCGGUGAGCGAAAGGCACCUGAAAUCAACAGAGGAUACUACAGCCGCGUGAAAGGUGUCAACCAUCUCCUUGAUGCAUUUAUAAGAAAAACAAAAUGUGACUGUCAAGUGAUCAACCUUGGUGCCGGGCUGGACACCACCUUCUGGAGACUUAAGGAUGAAAACAUCUUGCCGAGGAAGUUCUUUGAGGUUGAUUUUCCUACUGUUGUGGCCAGGAAAAUACACUAUAUAAAGACUAAACCACCCUUAUCCAAGCCUGUCAUCGAAACACACUCAACUGACUCCUUGCUACUAGAUGCCCACAGUCUUGAUUCGGAUCGGUAUUGUAUCAUCGGAGCAGACCUCAGAGACAUUGCUACUUUGUAUGAAAAACUGAAGAAGUUCCAGCUUAACCCCGAGUUGCCUACAUUGCUCUUGUCGGAGUGUGUGCUUGUCUACAUGACGCCCGCUCAGUCCUCCAGUUUAGUUCACUGGGCUGCAGAAACCUUUCACACGGCCAUGUUCAUCAACUAUGAACAGAUGAUAUGUGUGUGUCUAGGUGAACAUGAACGACCGUUUUGGCCAAGUAAUGAUCGAAAACCUUCAGCGGCGUCAGUGCACGCUGGCGGGAGUCGAGGUCUGCCGGUCUCUGGACUCUCAGAAGGAGCGAUUUCUCCAGUCGGGUUGGGAUCAUGCCGAUGCUCUGGACAUGGUGACAGUGUACAGUAUGCUUCCUCAGGAUGAAGUGGAAAGAAUUGAGCGUCUGGAGUUCCUGGAUGAAAAAGAGUUAUUGCACCAGCUCCUGCAGCAUUACAGCAUCUGCUGGGCCACCAAAGACAAGCUCAGACUAGGUUUGUCACAGUUGGCGUUUUGAUGGAACAUGACCAGAAGAAAGUCUGGAUUUGGGGUCACACACUCCUUUUGGGAUUUGUCGUGAACCAAGCCGUGUUAUCAACACCCUAUGACUUAGAGCUUACUAAGAAUGUUGAUGCACAUGAGUGUUUUAUUAGUAAAUUACAAAAUGUCAGCAUUUGCAGAAUGACUGGUGCGUUGUCCUUUUUGUGUCAUUUUAACUUGUAUUUAUUGGUAGAUUUUCUCACUCCUACAUCUUUUAAUAAAUGCUUCAAGCAAAAUUAGUGCUGAACUGCAAACUCAUACAUUUUCCUACAAAAUGUUCAGUUUCGGACAGAUAUUUUGUUGCAAUGCUAUGCGCAGUUAAAUAAAUGUUUGUUUUGCUAAAGUUGUGUAUUGUUUCAAGAUCAUACACUGUGUUUUAAUCUACAUCCACUUCUGUGCUGUAAUGCACUAGCUUAUUAAUUUUUGUCCCACAGAUUUUUUUUGUUGGCAGUUUGCAUAAUCUAUAUAUAAAAUAAAUUGUCAGUGAUACAUAUCAAUAGAUCAGGAGUCUCCAACCAGCAGCUCACAAAGAGCCACUUAAUAUCUGCUUAAACUAUCAGCAUCUGUUUAACUUUAUAUUUCAAACAUGAUGCCUCUAUUUAAUGAUAAAUUGUAACAACAUAACACAAAGACAAUGUCUGCACUGUUUGAGUGGAGAUCUGCUUAUAUAUUUACCAGAAAAAAUGAGGAGCUCUUGGCGGUUUUAAUUUAGUAAAAGUACUGUAGCUGAAGAGAAGAAACAAGGUUAGACACCCCUGCAUUAGAUAUUACACUAUAUCACCUAUAAAACAACGCUAAUAUAUCAGUGUUUCAGAUAGGAUGGCAUAUAUUGACCAACAUUGGAUUGGUUUUAGCAUCUUUAAUGUACUUAAUCGGGAGUAUCCGAAGUGCUGCCCACAGCUAAUUUUUAUUGGCCCUUGACAUGUUCAGAAAAUGAAUUCUCACAUAUAUAUAUAUGUUUUAUAUUUUGUGAUAGAAUGAUUGGAGCCCAUACUUGUUUGUCACAAUAAACAUUCAUGAAGUUGG